AAUCCAUAGGUUAAUGAGGCGAACCGGGGGAACUGAAACAUCUAAGUACCCCGAGGAAAAGAAAUCAACCGAGAUUCCCCCAGUAGCGGCGAGCGAACGGGGAGGAGCCCAGAGCCUGAAUCAGCAUGUGUGUUAGUGGAAGCGUCUGGAAAGGCGCGCGAUACAGGGUGACAGCCCCGUACACAAAAGCGCAUGUGCUGUGAGCUCGAUGAGUAGGGCGGGACACGUGGUAUCCUGUCUGAAUAUGGGGGGACCAUCCUCCAAGGCUAAAUACUCCUGACUGACCGAUAGUGAACCAGUACCGUGAGGGAAAGGCGAAAAGAACCCCGGCGAGGGGAGUGAAAAAGAACCUGAAACCGUGUACGUACAAGCAGUGGGAGCCCCACCACCAAAGCAUUUGCUGUACCGCGUUGACGGAGCGAAGCGACGUCAAACCGAUAAAACA
rnacentral:rRNA from 2 species